AUGCUUCUCUGUGUCUGAGUGCUGUUGCAGGCGGUUCAGGCACUCCGUCCUCUCUGCAGAAAGUCGCUCAACCAUCAGCUUGUCCAAAACACGCAUUUGGUGCUGGGUCUUAUUCUCCAUCUGCCCCAGCUUUGUAUUCAUUUUGUCCUGAACCGAUCCCAGCUCUGCUUUUAUCUCCUCCACAGUAGCCUCCAACUGAUUCUCCAGCUUGUUGAUUAGAGGUUCACAUCGACAACCAUUUAUUGGUGCCUGCAUCACUUUCCCAUCCUUGCCCCGGUACAAUGUGUAGAGCUGAUACGCCCUGAACUCAUGGGGUGGGGGUGGGGAUGAACACCGAUGCCUGUUCCUCUUUUUAGGGUGAUUAUGAGCAUGCAGGUUCUUCUGGUGUCCAGGCUGUUGGUCGGCUGGUGGGGUGGGGUCAGAAAAUGCUGACACCUUGGGCCUUGACUUUCUCCUCCUGUCAUCCUUUGCUCUGGGUUCUGGGGAGGCUGACAGGAACUCUUCUCUGGCUUCUUCUUUUCUGGCCACAGCCUGUUCACUGCUGGGGGUGUCUCCUGCUGAGACACUGCCCUUGGUAACCGCUACCCUGGCGCCCUUGUUGAUGAGCUGAACCACAUUCUCUGUUUGGCCUUUGUACGCAGCUACGAGAAGGCGCUCUGAAAGUGCAGCGACCGCAUCUUGCUGGCUCAUGAAUUAGGAAAGAAAGGUUUUCAGGGAAGCGGUAGACAAGUUCCUUCAGCUCAACACGAAGUCACUGGCCCGGCCUGGCACCCAGAGGUAAAGAAUAGCAGAAAAAGAGAGAGGAACUCUCGCAAACCCAUCCUGCUCCUGCUCACUGGGUCAUUAGAAACAAAACAGAUCUGGUGAAGGGUCUGCUGUAAAGCAGCUUGUCUUGUGUCUGCAGAUUUUCACGGACUGCUCCCUCCUGCCAGCAGAGGACCUGUAACACUGCCCCGAUUGAAGUCAGGGAACAAUUCACAGAUCGGAGGAACAUUUCUGAAUGACGCUCAGAUGACAGAGAAACGAAGUUUGCAUAAUUUCAGCAGUAAUGCAAGAAAAGAUGAGUGUGCGUGUUGUAAGGGAGGGAGGGAUGCAGAAAGGGUUGAAAUCUGUAAUAAACUGCCUCCAAGAAAACAG
rnacentral:lncRNA from 1 species